UCUUCAUUUCACAUACUCACUCGACCGGAUGAGUGACGAGAGAGUGUGUGAAAUGAAGAGA
rnacentral:pre_miRNA from 1 species